AUAAAGGCCCGAAUUCACGAAAAACCUAGCUCCUGGUUUUUGGUGGUUUAAACCCCCUCCUGGUUUAAACCCCGAGCUGGGUUUUUCAUUUACGUUUCACGAAAGAGGUUUAAACCCCGAGGGGGUUUAAAUGCGUCAUAAAACGUCAUGAAACGUCAUAUUUUUUAGUCUGCUCUUAGAUGUGGUUUAAACCAUGGUUUAAUUUUAUGAGCAUGCGCACUUGAGGAGUUUGUGAAAAAUCCGUGAAGCGAAGAAAAUUUUUCUUGCGGUCCUGGACCUGACAAGUGGUCUUCUUGAUUAGAAAUUCAAUUACAUCGGCAUCAGAGGUACCAUACAGUGUAGGUCUCUAUGGAUUAUCUCCAUCUUCUUCACAGCUUUAAAUUACUAAGAGCUACCUUUCCCAAGACAUUGUGGGCUACAUGAUGCUAAAAAUCCAUCGAAAUCGUACAAGGAUGGGCCAUCUCGAGAUCAGUAUCGACUGUCAAAAGAAACCGUCACCAAUAUGCUGGAAGCCGAAAUGAAGAGGGACACACAGCUCAGAGGAUAGAUCAACUUCCUGUUUAUUUGCAGGUGUUGACAACUCUCCAUUUUCAUGCAGUGGGAUCAUUUUAAAAGAUGCAUGGUGAUGAGGCAGCAAUAUAGCAGUCAUCAAUGUGUCAGAAGCUAAAGCAAGAAGGAAGAGGCAAUACAUGAAGAUUCCUACAAGAGAAGAAGUUGAAGCAACUCGGAGACAGUUCUAUCUAACUGUUAGAUUUCCAGGAGUGAAAGGUGCAAUUGAUGGGACACAUGUCUACAUCAAGAGCCGGGGGGGGGGGGGGAUUGGGCCAUAUGCUUCUUAUAUACCCCUUCCAACUUCAUGUGGAGAGGAAUGCCUAUAACAAUGGCAAAAGCAUAAGAACAUAGAAACACAGAGUUCAUUCAAAUUUAUGAAGAAUACUUUACUUCUUUAUUUGUUAAUAAAUUGAUUAUUAUAACCCUGUGAUUCCUGCAGCUUAGCUUCAGCAACCUCUCUUUAUUCAAAACGUCCAUUCGUAGUUUGUGCUCCUUCAAGCUCAUAUCGUGUCUUUCAAUCUCAUUUCAUGCUCUUUCAAUCUCAUAUCAUGUUCUUUCACUCUCAUCUUGUACUCUUUAUAAAGUCGAGACCAUGUUUCUUCCAUUGAACUUCAAUUCUAAUGGCAUGCACUUCUACCAGCUCAAACUCUUCUGACAGAUGAUUCUUUUUUCCUUGAGAUGGGUAAUUCAAAUUCCAUUUUGCAGAACAAAGGUUUGUGGUAUUGCUGCAGGGUUAAAAUUCAAUAUUGAAAUGCAUUUAAGUACAUAACAUUAUAGUAACAGUACAGUUGUAAAACACAUACUAUAAAUCAUGUUGUCAAAGAUGUAUGUUGUUUAACGUACUGGUAACUCUCUACUUGAUAGGUUCAGCUUCUGACACCAAUGUACAUUGUGUUUUCUGAUUGUUCUCGGAACCAUAAAUUGAAUUUUUGAAAACAU